rnacentral:rRNA from 1 species
UACGUAGGUGGCAAGCGUUGUCCGGAUUUACUGGGCGUAAAGCGUGCGCAGGCGGUUUUGUAAGUCAGAUGUGAAAUCCCCGGGCUUAACCUGGGAACUGCGCUUGAAACUACAAGGCUAGAGUGUGGCAGAGGGGGGUGGAAUUCCUGGUGUAGCGGUGGAAUGCGCAGAUAUCAGGAGGAACACCAAUGGCGAAGGCAGGUCUCUGGGCCACAACUGACGCUGAGGAGCGAAAGCGUGGGGAGCGAACAGG